CAUUAGGUGGCUGAAAGCAAGCAAAGGUCUCUUAAACCUCAUUAUAGUAAAUUAGCACUUACUUCUAAUGA
rnacentral:tRNA from 1 species